rnacentral:rRNA from 1 species
ACCGGCAGCUCAAGUGGUGGCCAUUUUUAUUGGGCCUAAAGCGUUCGUAGCCGGUUUGAUAAGUCUCUGGUGAAAUCCCUCAGCUUAACUGUGGGACUUGCUGGAGAUACUAUUAGACUUGAGGUCGGGAGAGGUUAGGGGAACUCCCAGGGAAGGGGUGAAAUCCUAUAAUCCUGGGAGGACCACCUGUGGAGAAGGCGACUAACUGGAACGCAUCUGACGGUGAGCAACGAAAACCAGGGGCGCGAACCG